CCCGCCCCUACCCGCCCGCCCUGCCCCGGGGCGGAGGCGGCAGCCCUGUCCUGCCUGCGCUCCACUGCUUACAGUGCGGCUGUCUGUUGUCCCGGGACCCUGCUUCAGACAGGUUUCGGUAUUGUCAUUUCACAAAGUCAAGAAAGGAAUGAGUUCAGUCCACAUCCUCUUGGACGUAUUGUUGAUUCCACAUAUAAGGGAUGUCAUAUGGUAUUUCUUCUUCUAUCUCUGACUUACUUCAAAUGAACUUAUGGUUGCCAGGAGCAACGUUUCUGGAUCUUCAAAGAGGAGGGUCGGUUUCAUCCAUCUAGCCCUUUCCUUAGGCUGGCACCCUGCAAACCUUUCCCCGAGAACCAGGCUGAUGGUUUAUAUUUAUUCUUGGCUAUGCCGCUCGGCUUGCAGGAUCCUAGUUCCUCAACCAGGGAUUGAACCCAGCCCCUGGCAAUGGAUGCUUGGAGUCCUAGCCACUGGAAUGCAGGGAAUUCCGAAUUACAUGGCUUCGAUUACAUGGAAUCUUAUUAAGUUUGGUUUACCUGCUAUGUCUUGGACUGAGAGAUGUUUGUUGUUCCAUUUUUGGUACGUUUCAGUCCUUUUCUUCUUCAUUUACAACAGUUUCUACCUCAUAAAAGUUGCUUCUCUAUAGAUUGUAGUCUUUGUCAUUUAUAAUGUCUUUUUUGGCUUUCUUUAACUUUUUAGUUUGUUUUCCCCUCAUUCUAUCAUGUUUUAUAUUAAAAUAUGAACUUGUGCUUUCUUACUA